rnacentral:rRNA from 1 species
CCCCUAGAUGUUCUGGGCCGCACGCGCGCUACACUGACGAAUGCAACGAGCUUAUAACCUUGGCCGAAAGGUCUGGGUAAUCUCCAAAUUUCGUCGUGAUGGGGAUAGAUUAUUGCAAUUAUUAAUCUUCAACGAGGAAUGCCUAGUAAGCGCAAGUCAUCAGCUUGCGUUGAUUACGUCCCUGCCCUUUGUACACACCGCCCGUCGCUCCUACCGAUUGAAUGGUCCGGUGAAGCGUUCGGACCGUGGCCUUUGGACGGUUCGCCGUCUGUUGGCUGCGGGAAGUUCGUUAAACCUUNUNAUUUAGNGGAAGGAGAANUCGUANCA